CCUACGGGAGGCAGCAGUGGGGAAUAUUGGACAAUGGGCGAAAGCCUGAUCCAGCCAUGCCGCGUGUGUGAAGAAGGCCUUCGGGUUGUAAAGCACUUUCAGUGGGGAAGAAAGCCUUGGGGCUAAUACCCUCGAGGAAGGACAUCACCCACAGAAGAAGCACCGGCUAACUCCGUGCCAGCAGCCGCGGUAAUACGGAGGGUGCGAGCGUUAAUCGGAAUUACUGGGCGUAAAGCGCGCGUAGGCGGUCUGAUAAGCCGGUUGUGAAAGCCCCGGGCUCAACCUGGGAACGGCAUCCGGACCGUUCAGGCUAGAGUGCAGGAGAGGAAGGUAGAAUUCCCGGUGUAGCGGUGAAAUGCGUAGAGAUCGGGAGGAAUACCAGUGGCGAAGGCGGCCUUCUGGACUGACACUGACGCUGAGGUGCGAAAGCGUGGGUAGCAAACAGGAUUAGAUACCCGGGUAGUC
rnacentral:rRNA from 1 species